rnacentral:rRNA from 1 species
AGUGAACGCUGGCGGUAGGCCUAACACAUGCAAGUCGAACGGCAGCACAGUAAGAGCUUGCUCUUACGGGUGGCGAGUGGCGGACGGGUGAGGAAUACAUCGGAAUCUACUUUUUCGUGGGGGAUAACGUAGGGAAACUUACGCUAAUACCGCAUACUACCUACGGGUGAAAGCAGGGGAUCUUCGGACCUUUCGCGAUUGAAUGAGCCGAUGUCGGAUUAGCUAGUUGGCGGGGUAAGGGCCCACCAAGGCGACGAUCCGUAGCUGGUCUGAGAGGAUGAUCAGCCACACUGGAACUGAGACACGGUCCAGACUCCUACGGGAGGCAGCAGUGGGGAAUAUUGGACAAUGGGCGCAAGCCUGAUCCAGCCAUACCGCGUGGGUGAAGAAGGCCUUCGGGUUGUAAAGCCCUUUUGUUGGGAAAGAAAAGCAGCAGGUUAAUCCCCCGCUGUUCUGACGGUACCCAAAGAAUAAGCACCGGCUAACUUCGUG